rnacentral:rRNA from 1 species
UACGUGAGGGUGCAAGCGUUAAUCGGAAUUACUGGGCGUAAAGCGUGCGCAGGCGGUGAUGUAAGACAGGUGUGAAAUCCCCGGGCUUAACCUGGGAACUGCAUUUGUGACUGCAUCGCUGGAGUGCGGCAGAGGGGGGAUGGAAUUCCGCGUGUAGCAGUGAAAUGCGUAGAAUAUGCGGAGGAACACCGAUGGCGAAGGCAAUCCCCGUGGGCCUGCACCUGGACCGCUCAUGCACGAAAGCGUGGGGAGCAAACAGGAAUUGAGAAACCCU